UUUAUUUCUUUUGAUUUAAUGAUAAUUUAUGGUUCUCUAUGAAUUGUUCCAAAUAAAAUUUAGCGUCUUAUGUUCUCUAUGAAACGACCAAACAGAAAAGAAACAAAGAGAGGGAAAGAAAAAAAAAUGGUGACCGAGAAGAAGAAAGAGUGAGAGAAAGAAGAAGAGAAGACGAAGAGAGAAAACAACAAAAACAUUGACAAAACAAGAAAAGAGAAAAGAAAAUUGCAAUUUUUGCUAGAAGUCAAUAUAGAAAGAGUUGAGAGUACCAUCAUCUUCUUCAUUCUUUUGGAAAUCAAGAGGUAAAAAGGCUUAGAUCACGUGUUGGAGAAAUGAAGCAUAUUAGUUUACAUUGUAGUUUGCUUAAAAUUUCUAGGGAAUUAUUUUGAACCAUAGAUGUGUUAUGUACUCCAUAUUUCUUUGCUUUUUCUUUGAAGGAUUAGUAUAUGUAAUAAUAUAUUUUUAUAACUUUGUGUCGAAAUUUGUACUAA